AGGGAUUUAGCUCAGUGGCACAGCACCUGCCUGGCAAGCCUGAGAUUCUGAAUUUGAUUUCUGGAACCCCUA
rnacentral:tRNA from 1 species